rfam:Triticum aestivum genome assembly, contig: Triticum_aestivum_CS42_TGACv1_scaffold_321953_4BL
CAUAUACUCCCUCCGUCCGGAAAUACUUGUCGAAGAAAUGUACAAAAAUGAAUGUAUCUAGAACUAAAAUACAUCUACAUACAUCCAUUCCGCCGACGAGUAUUUCCGGGCGGAGGGAGUACCUG